AGGAGCCCGUCUCUCUGUCGGGACCCGCGGGCUCCUUCAGCGUGCCGGCCGACCUGUACAGCGGCAGCGUGCAGCUGCGGGUGCGAGGCUUGGGCCGGGACCGCCCGGGAGCCGCCGUCUUCCGAGCGUACUUCCACAGAAAGCAAGUCGAGCCGAGUAGCCCGUGCGAUGUCACCGUGAGAACCUUGGGCUGGUCCGUGGUACGACUCAGCUGGAAGGCCCGGCCCCACGCGCAGCUCGACGGCUUUCAGGUGCACUGGUGCCGAGCAGACAGCACGCUUCCCCGUGGCUGCUCACAGCUCCACCUUCCACGCAACGUCUCUUCCGUGGUUCUC